UGAGGUGACUUCUGCCCAGUGCUCUGGUUGUCAAUGCCAAGAGAUUGAGCAAGCGCGGGUAAACGGCGGGAGUAACUAUGACUCUCUUAAGGUAGCCAAAUGCCUCGUCAACCAAUUAUUGACGCGCAUGAAUGGAUCAACGAGAUUCCUGCUGUCCCUAGUUGCUAUCUGGUGAACCAACAGCCAAGGGAACGGGCUUGGAUGUGUCAGCGGGGAAAGAAGACCCUGUUGAGUUUGACUCUAGCUUGCUGCUGUGCAACGACAUGUGGGGUGUAGCACAGGUGGGAGGCCAACACCAUGUGACACCACCCAAAGCUGAUUCGGCUCUUCCUUUGACUUGACGCUCGGCACAAGAGACCCACUGGUAGUACGGCUUGCCGGUGCCAGCUGAGGUUCUCACAUUGACUUGACGUCGGCUCUUCUCCAAUUGGUGUGAACCUGCAGUGAAAUACCACUACCUUCACCGUCGUUUUGCUCAGUGAGUGGCUGGGAGCUGGUGGCCAUUGGACAUCAACUGCUGCAAUCCUGUGGUGGUUGUGGCCUCAACCCAUUUCGUGUGCCAAGCCCAGUCACCUCGGUGGNUGGGUGAUCCUGUGGGGUGCUGACCACACCCUGUCCAUGUGCUUGGAGCCUCGGGACAAUGAGCAGCUGGGGAGUUUGGCUGGGGCGGCACGCCUGUUACAUCACAACGCCGGCGUCCUGAAGCAAUGCUCAGAUGGAACAGAAAUCUCCCAUGNAGGAGAAGGCCAAAGGUGCUGCUGAUGUGGUGACUUCCAGUGCAAGUCCAGAACAUGCAAGUGUGGCCUAGCGAUCCUUUGGNCAAGUUCUCGGGUUCCAGACAUNGAAGCCAGAGGUGUCAGAAAAAUUNCCNCAGGGAUAACUGGCUUGUGGCUGCCAAGCGUUNAAAGNGACGNGGCUUUUUGAUC
rnacentral:rRNA from 1 species